rnacentral:lncRNA from 1 species
CGUUCACUCUGUAAUGGCUGGGGGCUUCAGUAAAAUACUUAAUCUCCCUAAGCCAGUUUUUUCAUCUGUAAAACGGAGCUAAUAAUAACAGUCUUACCUUGUGUAAAUGGCACAGAAUUAUUAUGUUUUCUGUGAUUUACAAAGAGCAUAUAUGAAUUUAAUAAUCAGAAAAGAUGGCAUUCUAGAUUUAAUCUCUAAUAAACCUAAUUUCAAUGGUGGGACAUUUAAUGCAAAUUUUCAUCAGAAAGGAAAGGGAUGGAGGAAAGUUUACCAAGCAAAUGGAAAAUAGAAACAAAUGGGUUAUAAUCGUAAU